rnacentral:rRNA from 1 species
UACGAAGGGGGCUAGCGUUGCCCGGAAUGACUGGGCGUAAAGGGCGCGUAGGCGGCUUGUCCCGUCAGAUGUGAAAUUCCUGGGCUUAACCUGGGGGCUGCAUUUGAUACGUGUGGGCUUGAGUGCGGAAGAGGGCCGUGGAAUUCCCAGUGUAGAGGUGAAAUUCGUAGAUAUUGGGAAGAACACCGGUGGCGAAGGCGGCGACCUGGUCCGUGACUGACGCUGAGGCGCGAAAGCGUGGGGAGCAAACAGG